ACACUGUUGAAGAGUCCCAUACUAGGACAAAACGGACGUCCAGUAU
rfam:Schistosoma mattheei strain Denwood, Zambia genome assembly, scaffold: SMTD_scaffold0017179